rnacentral:rRNA from 1 species
AGCGAACGCUGGCGGCAGGCCUAACACAUGCAAGUCGAACGAACCUUUCGGGGUUAGUGGCGGACGGGUGAGUAACACGUGGGAACGUGCCUUUAGGUUCGGAAUAACUCAGGGAAACUUGUGCUAAUACCGAAUGUGCCCUUCGGGGGAAAGAUUUAUCGCCUUUAGAGCGGCCCGCGUCUGAUUAGCUAGUUGGUUGAGGUAAUGGCUCACCAAGGCGACGAUCAGUAGCUGGUCUGAGAGGAUGAUCAGCCACAUUGGGACUGAGACACGGCCCAAACUCCUACGGGAGGCAGCAGUGGGGAAUCUUGCGCAAUGGGCGAAAGCCUGACGCAGCCAUGCCGCGUGAAUGAUGAAGGUCUUAGGAUUGUAAAAUUCUUUCACCGGGGACGAUAAUGACGGUACCCGGAGUAGAAGCCCCGGCUAACUUCGUG